GUCUGUGUGUGGUGGCUCUUGAUGCACUGACUCCAGCCUCAGUCCACUCCUUGUGAAAGUCCCCAACACAUUUGAAUGGCCUUUUCCUGACAAUCCUCUCCAUGUUGCGGUCAUCCCUGCUGCUUGUGCACCUUUUUCUUCCACACUUUUCCCUUCCACAUAACUUUCUAUUAAUGUGCUUUGAUACAGCACUUUGGGAACAUCCAGCUUCCUUCACAAUUACCUUUUGAGGCUUUCCCUCCUUAUGGAGGGUGUCAAUGAUCGUUUUCUGCACAACUGUCAGGUCAGCAGUCUUCCGCAUGAUUGUGAUUCCUACUGAACCAGACUGAG